CUUCUCUGUUUUCAAUAUUGUUGAAAUGGCUGCUGAGCAAGACAGAGGGAGAGCAGAGGGUGUUAUUUUCAUAGCAGACAUGCUUCUUGCUCAAAUCAAGGGCAGAGGAACCCAAGGGCAAAGCAACAGCCAUUAAAGGGAGUACAUUUAAUGUCAGAUAGGUGGAGAAAAUGCUGAAGGACGUCCACUACUAAAAAGCAGCAGAAGUGAAGAGAUGCAAAGCUUCAGCUACAGUCUGUUUAUUGCCUACAGUGAGACCUCCACAUUUCUGCACUUGUGAUCAUGCAAACAUCCAGUGUAGAGCACUUCACCUGCCCGGCAUGUACACCCAACAAUGCUCGCUCUUUGUGCAGAUGGCAACAGAAAAACCUACAGAUUCCGUCAGUCAAAAGAAAGGAGCUUCAAGCAGCCACAAACGGAGAGUUCUUUUGAACAGAUAUUGCUUGCAAGUAUUGGCCAUACCUUGAGAAGGCGUCAGUCUCCAUGUUGGAACUCAGACCUUUACUGCAGAUGAGACCUUUCCUUUCUGUCAUGCAUGCCAAGGCUCAUUCAACCAAGUGUCAGGUGUCACACAUUUGUUAGAUAAUCUGGCAAAAAUCAGGAAGGUGCUGGUACAACUGCAGUUGAGGGGGUCAAAAUGGUCAACAGCUACCUGUCUCGUUGUGGCCUCACAACCAACCAGGAAUGACAUGCUAACUGUCCAUGCUAUUGGGUGGAACCAACGGAAGCAAGAAGGCCUUCAGCAUUAUCCAGCAGAUACAUCAAGAAAGGCUGAGUCUCAGAGACGGGAAGAUUUGAGCAGUGAACUGGGGUGUCCUGAGAACAUUGUGAAUCAGUGGGUACAAGAUGUCAGACAAAAGGCUACUGAUGGAUUUGGUAGGUACCAGAUGUGAUGACCUACACAACCUUCAGAAAUGAAUUGAACAAAUGUUUCUUAGUCUUCAUCGAAAAGCCAGCCUUUAUAAUCACACUGAAUCCAGCAACACCCUCACCAAGAAGAUUUCAAAAGUGCGCCUUCAAGAAGCAAAGAUCAUUGUGAUGAGGGACACCACUGCACCGCACCUAUCUCAGAAGCCUGGCUAGGAACAUCAGGAAAAUGAUAUCAGAAAUGUCUUCAGGCAAAAACAGUGGCAGUUUAAGUGAAGAGUGUCAUCGCUGGCUACUGUGUCGUCUUCAGAAAAGGCUUGCAGAUGUAGAGAAGAAGUUCCAAGUUUGCUCAAGUUACAGCCAGGCUUUAGGACAGUGUUCUUCACUCCCAACCCUGGAGAGCCGGUGUCCUGCAGACUUUAGGUCCAACCUUAAUCAAACACACAAUGUCUUCAUGAUCUCUAGAAAAUCACAGGUAUGCGUGUGUUUGAUUAAGGUUGGAGCUAAGCUCUGCAGGACACCAGCUCUCCAGGAUAGAGAGUGAAGAACACUGCUUUAGGACCAAAUGCUGUUUCUCUGCUGGAGGAUGAGCCUGAGGAGAUACUGGAGGACCACAAAGAGCUGGAUUAUGAGAGUUCAGAUGACAUUUUGGAUUUGGAACUCUGAACUGGUGUAUGCAUUUAGACUGUGUGUCACACUGAACUGCAGCAGGUUAGCUAUUAGGUUUCCCCUCCACCUCCGAUGUUUCACAGACUACUCCUACAUUCAACUGUGUUGCUACAACUUGCAAAUGCCACAAUCCUCUUGCAGUGGUUACUUCACCAAACUGUGCCCAUAUCAUCUUGUCAACAUAAUGACAUGUACUGUAGAAAAAUGUGCAAAUCUAUUUUGCCUGUGUUACAUAUGUUACUAUUAUUGUUAUAUAGUUUUAUACUGUAUAAAGUUUUUUUCACAGUGAUUGUGGAUACGUUUGGAGUGAACUAACUGUAUGUCAUUAGAUGAAAUACUUUACAUAAAUGACUGAUCAAUAGCCUACCCAUAUUUGAUGCAUGAGUUAAUACUGUUGUUACCUUUUCAAUGAAAGGAAAUGUUUUACAAUGCCAUUUUCUUGAGGUAAUUAUUAAACUGUUUCAUAUAUGUACCUGCAAAA